CUAAAAUUUCAAUCAAAUUUAAGUAUUAGUGCUAACAUGAAUGCAUCAGCUUUCUGAAGAAGCUGAAUAGAAGUAGGGAAGAAACAAAGGAGUCUUAUAUUCCUAAGAACACUUGUAAGAUAUAUUUUGGCAGCUCUUUCUCUCCUGUGUGCAAGUUUUUUGGUGUCAGUGGCUGCAUGCAUGCUUCAGAGAGACUGACCUGGCUACGAAAU
rnacentral:lncRNA from 1 species